rnacentral:tmRNA from 1 species
CCCCUUCAAAAGUGCAGGGCAAAGGCUUAUAUGUGGUGGGCCGGCUUGCCGGCUAUGGCGAUAAACGCCGCUCGGAAUAGGCGUAAUGGACCCGGGGGCAGUACCCGGCGCCUCCACCAUGAAGCCAGCCUGCCGCCCCAGCCGGGGGCGGGGAACCACGCUGGCUUGAUGAUGGGGGCGAAUCAGGCUUGACAUGCGCAAUAAAGGACCGGUUUUUGCCCGGCAUGAUACCGCCGUUAUCGGGUCAAAUCACAAGUGCGAACGAUAACUCCGUAGCACUCGCUGCCUAAUUAGGUAAGCGCGGCUCGGGGGAGCGCCGGGCAACAGAAGCUCCCCCACU